rnacentral:rRNA from 1 species
UGGGGAAUAUUGGACAAUGGGCGAAAGCCUGAUCCAGCCAUGCCGCGUGUGUGAAGAAGGUCUUCGGAUUGUAAAGCACUUUAAGUUGGGAGGAAGAGCAGUUACCUAAUACGUGAUUGUUUUGACGUUACCGACAGAAUAAGCACCGGCUAACUCUGUGCCAGCAGCCGCGGUAAUACAGAGGGUGCAAGCGUUAAUCGGAAUUACUGGGCGUAAAGCGCGCGUAGGUGGUUAGUUAAGUUGGAUGUGAAAUCCCCGGGCUCAACGUGGGAACUGCUUUCAAAACUGACUGACUAAAGUAUUGUAGGUGGUUGUGGAAUUUCCGUUGUAGCGGUGAAGUGCGUAGAUAUAGGAAGGAACACCUGUGGCGAGGGCGACCACCGGGACUGAUACUGACACUGAGGUGCGAAAGCGUGGGGAGCAAACA